AUUGAACGCUGGCGGCAGGCCUAACACAUGCAAGUCGAACGAGUGGCGGACGGGUGAGUAAUGUCUGGGAAACUGCCUGAUGGAGGGGGAUAACUACUGGAAACGGUAGCUAAUACCGCAUACCAUCAGAUGUGCCCAGAUGGGAUUAGCUAGUUGGUGGGGUAACGGCUCACCAGGGCGACGAUGCCUAGCUGGUCUGAGAGGAUGACGAGCCACACUGGAACUAAGGGACGGUCCAGACUCCUACGAGAGGCAGGAGUGGGGAAUAUUGGACAAUGGGCGAAAGCCUGAUCCAGCUAUGCCGCGUAUGUGAAGAAGGUCUUCGGAUUUUAAAGCUCUUUAAGUUGGGAGGCGUUACCAACAGAAUAAGCACCGGCUAACUUCGUGCCAGCAGCCGCGGUAAUUC
rnacentral:rRNA from 1 species